UCCCCUCCCAUUCCAUCCCUUCAUUAAAAUCUCCCCCCUCUCAUCUCCUCAUUUGAAUCAAACAGACCCUUAAUCGCUAAGUUCGCAUCUGUGUUGAUAACCAUUAACUCUUCUUCUCAGGUUCCUAUGGACUCCCUUUCUUUUUCCAACUUGUUGAUCCCUUCUUGUGAGGCUAUCUAAUUGCCAGAUGUUAUCUUCCUGAUGCUGACUUUGCUUUGGAUUUUUAGACGCAUGCAUAGAACCUUUGAGGGUGGAAUUUAAAGACACUCAUAACACAAGUGGGUAUGGUUUGGGCAAUAACUUUGAACACGGUGGCUUUGCCCGCAUAAGAUAGUGAGAUUCUCAAAAGUGGAUUUCCCCUACUCAGCAAGGCCUUGCAACAUUUGUUUCUGCUUGGUUUCAUAGUUUCUUGGGAAUGAUCAGGUUCGGAGGAGGGAAAUUAAAAUCCAUCAUCGACGAGGAGGAAUGAGCUAACAACAAAAGACAGAGAAAAAACUGGAAGUUGCAGAAAAAAAGACGCAAAAGAAGACAAAUCAAUACCAAAACUUCUCAGAGAGAAGAAUGAAUAUCGCCGGAAAACUGAAAGAGAUGAAAAAGGCACAACUCAGCAUCCAAGAUGAUGAUUGGAACAAACAAAACACUCACACUUGAUACCGGAACAAAGUAGGAGAAGAAUAAAUCGAAAAGGGGGAUUGAAAGGGAUCAAUCAUUUAGGGAAAUUAGGAGAAGAAAACAUCAAUCUUGGAGAUUUCUUGGAGUUUUUUUUAGGUUCAUUAAUAAAUUGUUUUUAA